GACGAACGCUGGCGGCGUGCCUAAUACAUGCAAGUAGAACUCACAGUUUAUACCGUAGCUUGCUACACCAUAGACUGUGAGUUGCGAACGGGUGAGUAACGCGUAGGUAACCUGCCUGGUAGCGGGGGAUAACUAUUGGAAACGAUAGUUAAUACCGCAUAAUAUUGAUUAUUGCAUGAUAAUUGAUUGAAAGAUGCUAUUGCAUCACUACCAGAUGGACCUGCGUUGUAUUAGCUAGUAGGUGAGGUAACGGCUCACCUAGGCGACGAUACAUAGCCGACCUGAGAGGGUGAUCGGCCACACUGGGAAUGAGACACGGCCCAGACUCCUACGGGAGGCAGCAGUAGGGAAUCUUCGGCAAUGGACGAAAGUCUGACCGAGCAACGCCGCGUGAGUGAAGAAGGUUUUCGGAUCGUAAAGCUCUGUUGUAAGAGAAGAACGGGUGUGAGAGUGGAAAGUUCACACUGUGACGGUAUCUUACCAGAAAGGGACGGCUAACUACGUG
rnacentral:rRNA from 1 species